rnacentral:rRNA from 1 species
GACGUAGGAGGCGAGCGUUGUCCGGAUUCAUUGGGCGUAAAGAGCACGCAGGCGGUUUGGCAAGUCGGAUGUGAAAUCCCGAAGCUCAACUUCGGGCGUGCACCCGAAACUGCCCGACUAGAGGUAGGUAGGGGAGAUCGGAAUUCCUGGUGUAGCGGUGAAAUGCGCAGAUAUCAGGAGGAACACCGGUGGCGAAGGCGGCUACCUGGACAGAAACUGACGCUGAGGCGCGAAAGCUAGGGGAGCAAACAGG